CACACACAGACACACACAAAUACACGCUCUCAGGCACAAGAACGCGACGCUCCUACCUCGGACUAAUAUUCUCCGACAAUAAUCCGGAUCAGUCGAGCUGGAUUUGUUUUUAUUGCAAUCUUCCACGGCGGCGCCGGAAGCUGAAAAAGUCCCUUGCUGCUCCUUCAAGAAGGCCGUCGAGAGCGUCCCCUCGCCGCCUUUCCCUUCCUUGCCCUCUUUAUUAUUAUUGUUGGCGUGGUUGUUGUUGUUGUGCCCGUUCUUGGACAACCGGUUGGCUUCCAGCUCCGGGUUGGUGUUGCAUCUAACGUCCAUUUUGUCUGGUUUCCCAAACAUGUAGUGCAAGAUGGUUUUAGUUUUAGUUUCUUCAAAAGGAAAGUACCCAAAAAGAAGGAGGAAAGGAGGGGGAUUUGGGGGGGGGGGGGGAGAGAGGAGAAGGGGUGGCGGUGUGGGUGGAAGCGAGGCGAAGCCGGUGUGUUGGGCGAGGGCACGUCUUCUGACCAGAUGAGGGUCCCCUUGAAUCCGGCGAAGGGGUCUGCAGAGAGAGAAAGAGGGAGAGAGAAGGAGGGAGAAAGAGAGAAAGAGAGAGAGAGGCAGGGAGCCUGUGCCUUCCUCAGUCCCCGCGUCCUAGUGCCAGUGUCCAGCUUUCUCCGUCGCCCCAAUGAUCAGAUUUUGUCUUCCCCAAGACUAGAGAAAAUAUUCAGUUGUUUUCACAAUUGCAGAUCUUUUUUCCCCUUCAUGAUGCCCAACAGGAGGUGAGUGCAUUUCAUGUGGAUGAUGAUAGAUAGUAGUGUGUGUAUGUAUGAACGGAUGUGUGUAUGUAUGGCUGUGAGACAGAAUUGCUUUGUGUACAAAGGUUGUUGUUGCUGCUGCUACUGUUGCAUGCCUUCAAGUCAUUUCUGAGUCAUGGCAACCUUUCUUAGGAAGAUUUAUUCAGAGGGGUUUUGGCUUUGCCUUCCUUGAAAACUAACAGUAUGUGACUUGCCCAAGGUCACCAGUGGGUUUCCAUGCCUGAGGAGCAAUUCAAACCCUAGCAUCCAAAGUUGUAAUCUAAUCCUCAAACCACUAUACCACACAUGAUAUAAUGAGACAUAAUGAGGCAUGAGACAUCUCCACAAAAUCACAAACCAGUAUUUCCAUAUGGCAUCCAUAUGUUUGGACACUGGAAACAAGGUGUUAGAAUAUGCAUCACAGUCCAACAACUAAGCACAAAUAACUCUUUAUCUUAGUAGAGCAUUAGGCCAGAGGGGCUAUCAAAAAUGUAGAGUCCUCCUUUUGUACAAAUAGCUUGUAUAACUUACUUGUAUGCAAUUUUUAUGUUUGUAUAUGCCUUAAAAUUCUUGUGACAUUGCUCCUCUGUAUAAAAUAAACAUGUAGUUAAAUUAAAGAAUGUCUGGAAUCAGCUGUCUAUUGGGAACCUUUAUUUCCAACAAGACAAAAAGAUUGCACUUGCAUUCUGUUCCUGGAAAAAUGUAUAACAAGUGUUUUCAAAUAAACCAGGCAAUAUAGGUCUAUUAUAAAGCAAAGAGAAAAAUAUACGUGUAAAAUGUGUGUGGGUGUCAUGUGUGUGAAGACAUUUCCCCCAUGCUUCAGUUAUAAUAUUUUCUACACAUAUAGCAUAAUAAAAAGAUGGAGGUGUUCGGCUCAAUGAUUCCAUUUAAAUCAAAAUAUUUUGAAUUUAAUCAAUGUGUUUGACUACUAUAGAUGCAAUAAAAAAAGCCAGGCACAUCAAUGGGUGAGUCUCAGUCAGCCCUCCUUGACCUAAAUAUAGCAAUCUUACAAAUCAAGUGAAAAAAAGAGAUUGUGAACAGAUAUUCUUCUGCUUAAAUAGAGGUCCUACCCCCCCACCCCAUCUAUUAUAUUUAUGGAGAGCUAGAAUGUGCACAUGUUUUAUACCUCACAAAUUUCAGGAGCCAUUCCAAACUACACAGUUAUGGCAGUAUGAUCCCACUUUAAAUGUCAUGGCAACAUUCUGUGAAAUCCUGGGAUUUGCAGUUUAUGAAAAUUUAUUUCAUUUUUUUGCCAAAGAGCUCUAGUGCCUCAGCAAAACAACAAUCUCAAAGAUUUUAUAAGACAUUGUUAUAGUAAUUAAAGUGGAAUCUUAACACAACCCAACAAAAAAGUCUUGGUGUCUUGGUUUUUAGGCCUGUUCCUGGGGUUAUUUAGAGUGCUAAUUCAGAAAAUUGUAUUGGAUUGACAACCUCUGCUCUAGUUUCUUAGAUAUGGUUAUCAUGAUUUUCUAUGGAAACUGGUUUGUAUCUCAAAAACCAAAGCUGAUUGGGAAAAACCGAUACCAUUUUUGAAAACAGCAAGUCACGUAUACCUAGAAAUAGGUCUAACAUUUGAGGCACCAAAAUAUAUGUUGGCCAGUGUAAUGCUCUAAUGGUGUAGCAUGAAAGGACCCCAGGGGCAAAAAUUUACCUAGAUGUGACUAGUGUGUGAACGACAAGUAGAAAUCCUCACUUUUCAUGCUUCCUCUCAAGAGGAAAGGUAUUCUUCUCAGAUAGACUAUUAGCUGAUCUUGAUAUGUUGGUUUUCUAUGAAGAAUACCGUUCAUGGAGCGCUAUUCAGAAAGAUUCACCUGUAAGAGCUCAUGUUGUAAUAAUGGUACAAAACUCUGCUAUCUGAUAAAUCUACUGUGAGGCUAUGUUGCAGGUUGUGAUGUUGUGACAGAGAAAGACUUUCAAAGACUAUUAGAGUCAUUUUGUGCACUGCAUUUGAUGACACAGUUUGAAUGUUGGACUACAACUCUGGAGGCCAGGGUUUGAAUCCCCAUUCAGCCACAGAAACCCAAAUCAUACUGUUACAGCCUCAGAGGAAAGCAAAGGCAAAUGCAAUCUGAACAAACCCUGUUAAGAAAACCUUGUGAUAAGUUUGCUUUUGGGUCACCAUAAGUCUGAGAUCACUUGAAGGCACACAAUAACAUCAGUAAGUAUGUCUUUAGAAAAUAAGUAAAUAUGCAUGCACAAUAUCCUAACAUUUCCUGCAUUUUUGAGGCCUAUACAGGUAGAACUCAUAUCUAUCCCGUUAAAUAUCCACAGAACACUAGGAAUAUAUGUUUUUUCUCCCAAACCUAGAUAUCUUAGCCUGGUAUAAAAAGCAGAGCAUUUGAGGGGCAAUCUGUCUAAUGAGAUUUAUUCUGAGCCAAACUGUACCCUUUCAUAUAAGUCAUUUGAUUCUGUUUAAUUGACAAGAGCCAAAUGUAUUCAAUAAUAAUAAAGACAAAUAUUUUUCGCCUCUCUUCAGGUCAAAACUAUUUGUAAUCUCGAAAAAAGAAAACAAAACAUCAAAGCUGAAAACAUCCACUCCAGGUUUUUCACUGGCUCCACAAACAAGAAUACAUAAUUAAGAAUGAAGUGAAAACAGGAACAAUAUUAAAGAUGUAUUGAAGAGCAUAGCUUUAUUUGUUGCAUUAAACACAGGCCACUCAAACAAAUGUGACUUAAAGCAGACACACACACUCAGAAAGGAUAUAAUCUUCCCACAAUGAUGUCAAUAAAACAGUAUUACAGUCCAAUGUCAGGUAUUAAGCUCUAUCUGGUUAGAGAACUGUGUUUCUAUCAAUCUUUGGACAUUUUUUUAAUCUACAUUCUCUAUAAGAAUAGUCUGGGUAAAUCAUGGGAAGUAGUUUUUAAUGUCUGGGCUAGUCCUAGAAGGAUAAACUAUUGCUUUUUGGGACUUAAGCACUGAACCACAUCAUCCAGCAAUAUAAGCUUCACAGCUUUCUCACUUUUUAUUACCAACUAAAGUUAUGCUUCCUCUCUUAAUCCCAUACAAAUGCCUCAGAAAGGCAUAGUUAGGCCCUGGUAUACAAUCUUGGAAUUACAUACAACUGAAUCUCACUUGAGUAAUGUUUCUUUCUCUUUAAAAAAAACCCUUUAAAAGAUAUGGGUGAUCACUUUUAUUGUUGUGUGUCUUCAAGUCCUUUCCAACUUAUGGAAACUCUAAAAUGAACAUAUUACAGGAUUUUAUGGGGCUGAGGAUAAUGACUCACCCAAUGUCACCCAUUGAACUUUCAUGGCAUAGCGGGGAAUCUCCAAAGUUUAGCAUAAUGCUCAAACCACAUAAUGCUAAUGCUAUAAUAAUUCAUGUCCAGAAGUAUUUCUGGCUGAACUACUAAAGGCGAGAAUAAAGUGUUUGGAUUUCAACAAAUCAAACACGAAGUGUGGAUAUGUAAAGGUAAAGGGUUUCCCCUGACAUUAAGUCAAUUCGUGACUGACUGGGGGUUGGUGCCCAUCUCCAUUUCUAAGCUGAAGAGCCAGCAUUGUACAUAAACAUCUCCAAGGUCAUAGGGCUGGCAUGACUGCAUGGACCACAUUACAGUACCUAUUGAUCUACUCACAUUUGAAUGUUUUUGAACUGCUAGGUUGGCAGAAGCUGGGGCUAACAGUGGGAGCUUACCCCGGUCCGAGAAUUCGAACCACUGACCUUUCAGUCAGUUCAGCAGCUCAGCAAUUUAAUCCACUGUGCCACCAGGGGCUCCUAAAAAAAGUGUGGAUAGAAAUAAUACCAUGGGAGGAUAUCUCUAGCUAUUGUUUCUAAAUUAAACCAAAUCAGGCUCAAGGUCAGAGACUACCUUCCAGUAUCUAGUGAGCAGUGGGUGUACAUGUCCCAAGGACAUUUAAAACCUUGGGUCACUCUGGACCCCUCCCAACACCCCCCUCAUAAGACCACAGUAGAGUCUAGAUAGCUAGAUAGCACAGCCGGUCCUAGGUAUUUUUCAAGUGUAAGUGAACAGAAUUUUGGCACCCCCCCCCAAACCAAUCACUGAAAAAUAAAAUGGUUGGAUAAGCAAAAAUGUUGGAUAAUAAGGAGGGAUUAAGGAAGAGCCCAUUAAACAUCAAAUUACAUUAAGAUUUUACAAAUUAAACACCAGAACAUAA
ensembl:lncRNA